rnacentral:rRNA from 1 species
GUGGGGAAUUUUCCGCAAUGGGCGCAAGCCUGACGGAGCAACGCCGCGUGAGGGAUGAAGGCCUCUGGGCUGUAAACCUCUUUUCUCAAGGAAGAAGAUCUGACGGUACUUGAGGAAUAAGCCACGGCUAAUUCCGUGCCAGCAGCCGCGGUAAUACGGGAGUGGCAAGCGUUAUCCGGAAUUAUUGGGCGUAAAGCGUCCGCAGGCGGCCUUGAAAGUCUGUUGUUAAAACGUGGAGCUCAACUCCAUUUCGGCAAUGGAAACUACAAGGCUAGAGUGUGGUAGGGGCAGAGGGAAUUCCCGGUGUAGCGGUGAAAUGCGUAGAUAUCGGGAAGAACACCAGUGGCGAAGGCGCUCUGCUGGGCCAUAACUGACGCUCAUGGACGAAAGCCAGGGGAGCGAAAGGGAUUAGAAACCCCAGUAGUCC